rnacentral:rRNA from 1 species
UGAGGAAUAUUGGUCAAUGGGGCGAGAGCCUGAACCAGCCAAGUAGCGUGCAGGAUGACGGCCCUAUGGGUUGUAAACUGCUUUUAUGCGGGGAUAAAGUGUACCAUGUAUGGUGUUUUGCAGGUACCGCAUGAAUAAGGACCGGCUAAUUCCGUGCCAGCAGCCGCGGUAAUACGGAAGGUCCGGGCGUUAUCCGGAUUUAUUGGGUUUAAAGGGAGCGUAGGCCGUUUUUUAAGCGUGUUGUGAAAUGCCGCGGCUCAACCGUGGCACUGCAGCGCGAACUGGAUGACUUGAGUGCGCGGGAGUAGG